GACGAACGCUGGCGGCGUGCUUAACACAUGCAAGUCGAACGGAAAGGCCCUGCUUUUGUGGGGUGCUCGAGUGGCGAACGGGUGAGUAACACGUGAGUAACCUGCCCUUGACUUUGGGAUAACUUCAGGAAACUGGGGCUAAUACCGGAUAGGAGCUCCUGCUGCAUGGUGGGGGUUGGAAAGUUUCGGCGGUUGGGGAUGGACUCGCGGCUUAUCAGCUUGUUGGUGGGGUAGGGGCUUACCAAGGCUUUGACGGGUAGCCGGCCUGAGAGGGUGACCGGCCACAUUGGGACUGAGAUACGGACCAGACUCCUACGGGAGGCAGCAGUGGGGAAUAUGGCACAAUGGGCGGAAGCCUGAUGCAGCAACGCCGCGUGCGGGAUGACGGCCUUCGGGUUGUAAACCGCUUUCGCCUGUGACGAAGCGUGAGUGACGGUAAUGGGUAAAGAAGCACCGGCUAACUACGUG
rnacentral:rRNA from 1 species